rnacentral:misc_RNA from 1 species
CUGGCCACUUGUACUGACCAUAAAAUACCGUCCUACAAUCGUUGUAGGACAAAUAAGUGAAAUUCUUCACUAUGAGGAAAAUGAUUAAAACUUAGUCCAAUGACUAGUUUUGGUAAACAGACCCAUGAGUUUCAAAAUAUUUGUAUGAUUAGAAUUUCAAGUUUGAGCUAAGCAAGAAUGAGCUGAUUAUUAAAAUUGUAGACGAAAGAUAUGAAGGCACGUACAUUCCCCUGUUUUUGUCUCCCCACUCUUUACCAUCCUCAGGGAGUGAUAAUAUUGUCGAUUUAAGUGAAUGCGAAGACAGCCCUAGAGACAGUGCCCCAUGCUGUGCCCAAGUAGAGGACACCAGACCCCGUGACCUUGCAAUUUGACGAAGGAGAAGCCUGUUUCCUGAAGCAAGUUAUCCCUUUUCUGUGUGGUCAAGGCUGCAAAACUAUUCGUGAUGGCAUGCAAAUGGCAAUCCUCAUAG